UACGUAGGGGGCGAGCGUUAUCCGGAAUUACUGGGCGUAAAGGGUGCGCAGGCGGCCAUUUAAGUCAGAUGUGAAAGGCUACGGCUUAACCGUAGUUAGCAUUUGAAACUAGAAGGCUUGAGUGCAGUAGAGGAGAGUGGAAUUCCUAGUGUAGCGGUGAAAUGCGUAGAUAUUAGGAGGAACACCAGUGGCGAAGGCGACUCUCUGGACUGCAACUGACGCUGAGGCACGAAAGCGUGGGUAGCGAACAGG
rnacentral:rRNA from 1 species